rnacentral:rRNA from 1 species
UACGAAGGGGGGCUAGCGUUGCUCGGAAUCACUGGGCGUAAAGCGCACGUAGGCGGAUUGCUAAGUCAGGGGUGAAAUCCUGGAGCUCAACUCCAGAACUGCCUUUGAUACUGGCGACCUUGAGUCCGGGAGAGGUGAGUGGAACUGCGAGUGUAGAGGUGAAAUUCGUAGAUAUUAGGAGGGACACCGGUGGCGAAGGCGCCAGCUCUGGGCCGAAACUGACGCUGAGGAGCGAAAGCGUGGGUAGCAAACAGG